UACGUAGGUGGCAAGCGUUGUCCGGAAUUAUUGGGCGUAAAGGGCGCGCAGGCGGCUUCUUAAGUCUGUCUUAAAAGUGCGGGGCUUAACCCCGUGAUGGGAUGGAAACUGGGAAGCUCAGAGUAUCGGAGAGGAAAGCGGAAUUCCUAGUGUAGCGGUGAAAUGCGUAGAUAUUAGGAGGAACACCAGUGGCGAAAGCGGCUUUCUGGACGAAAACUGACGCUGAGGCGCGAAAGCCAGGGGAGCGAAC
rnacentral:rRNA from 1 species